CGGGUGAGUAACACGUGAGCAAUCUGCCCUUCUCAUCGGAAUAACCAUUGGAAACGAUGGCUAAUGCCGAAUAUGACCUCGGAUCACAUGUUCUGAGGUGGAAAGCUCCGGCGGAGAAGGAUGAGCUCGCGGCCUAUCAGCUUGUUGGUGAGGUAAUGGCUCACCAAGGCAUUGACGGGUAGCCGGCCUGAGAGGGUGACCGGCCACACUGGGACUGAGACACGGCCCACACUCCUACGGGAGGCAGCAGUGGGGAAUAUUGGACAAUGGGCGAAAGCCUGAUCCAGCAACGCCGCGUGAGGGAUGACGGCCUUCGGGUUGUAAACCUCUUUCAGCAGGGACGAAGCGAAAGUGACGGUACCUGCAGAAGAAGGACCGGCCAACUACGUGCCAGCAGCCGCGGUAAUACGUAGGGUCCGAGCGUUGUCCGGAAUUAUUGGGCGUAAAGGGCUCGUAGGCGGUUUGUCGCGUCGGGAGUGAAAACUCAGGGCUCAACCCUGAGCGUGCUUCCGAUACGGGCAGACUAGAGGUAUGCAGGGGAGAACGGAAU
rnacentral:rRNA from 1 species